AAAUGAUUCCAUGAGCUGUUGAUGGUACUGGUACAACUAUUAAUCAUAGGAUGCAGCUUUAUUCAGGUCCACUAUCAACAUUUUAAAUGUUGAUGAUUUGUCGGAUGGCUAAAUUUGAGGAGGUACUGUGGAAGAUGAAAAUGGCAAUAUUGCAUGCGACACAAGGAAGAUAAUGAUGUCCUUGUCCAGUAUAUAUAAGAUCAUGAGGGGAACACUGACCUAUUUGUGUCAUGAGGGAAACAUGAUCAAUAGUAGAGGAUUGGGGUACAUCCAUGUUAAGAACGUGAGCUUCAGAUUUCUUCUGGAGUCUGUCCUGCCGUUGUUUCUUGCGUCCCUAGUGAGCUUGCAGGCAUAUCAGUUCCAUCUGGCAUACAACAGGAAAUCAUGAACCCAUAAAUUAGAAACAGGUACUCCGCUUUCUUCUCAUCAAACAAUCGGGCAUACCAGCUCAGUUUCUUUUCUGACUGUACACUCGAGGUGCAACAACAGGUCGUGGUUGAUCUGCCCAACUACAUCAGGAGAACAUGAGCAAACUUAUCUGAAGAUACAUCCUUUGGGUUUCGUCCAAGUGUGGCAUGCAAAUUUUGAAGCAACCGGUAACUGCUUUACAGUUGGUAAAUUCAUGUUCUAGUAUUAUGGAGAUAGUAUGUAAAUAGAUGCAGCAACACUGAAACUGGCUUAAUGUAAAUUCAAGUUAAAUUUAUUUGUACCCACAUGUGCAUGUAUCCUUGGCGGUUGUGGCACUUGGUUCUUCGACGACGUCUGGGCAACUUGCUUUCUCAACAGCGGCUCCGGCUCUGGGGCAAUUGCUUCGUCGAUGGCCGCUGAGCACUUGCGUCCGCGAUGGUGGCU